UGGGCUUUGUUUAUUGUAAGCUUACAGCUUUACACUAAGUUCAAUUAGUUAAUGCUGCUAUUAAUGAAGCCUAAAAAGUUGUUUCCCUCGCUAUCCAAGUCUGCAAUACAUGUUGCAUUUGGACGUCGGGAAACUAUAUUU